rnacentral:rRNA from 1 species
UACGAAGGGGGCUAGCGUUGUUCGGAAUUACUGGGCGUAAAGCGCACGUAGGCGGAUACUUAAGUCAGGGGUGAAAUCCCGGGGCUCAACCCCGGAACUGCCUUUGAUACUGGGUAUCUCGAGUCCGGAAGAGGUGAGUGGAAUUCCGAGUGUAGAGGUGAAAUUCAUAGAUAUUCGGAGGAACACCAGUGGCGAAGGCGGCUCACUGGUCCGGUACUGACGCUGAGGUGCGAAAGCGUGGGGAGCAAACAGGG